UACAGAGGUCUCAAGCGUUGUUCGGAUUCAUUGGGCGUAAAGGGUGCGUAGGCGGCGCGGUAAGUCGGGUGUGAAAUCUCGGAGCUUAACUCCGAAACUGCAUUCGAUACUGCCGUGCUUGAGGACUGGAGAGGAGACUGGAAUUCCCAGUGUAGAGGUGAAAUUCGUAGAUAGUUGGGAAGAACACCGGUGGCGAAGGCGGCUACACGUGGCUCGGUAUCUGACGCUCAGGCGGCGAACAGACGUGGGGAUCGAAACAGG
rnacentral:rRNA from 1 species